ACCAAUCUGACAUAUGGUAAAAAGCUGAAAAUACAAAAUAAAAUACAAUUUUACAAUGUGUUCAAUUAAUGUUAUAAUGUAUGAAUGUCAAGUGUAGACGAUAGCAAAGUCCAUAGAACGCGAAAUAAAGCUGCAGUUAUUAAAGGUGAAGUUUCCAGUAUAUCACGGAUAAAGAGUUCAAUUAUGUGAAGAACGAUUUGAAAGCAUCAAAUACAAAGUUAUAAAUGUAACUCACUCUGUGGUUAGCCACGAUUUGUGUCCUAGAUGACGUUUGUCCUCAGAAUGUUCUCCAGUACUGAGAUGACCUUGCAGUAUUCAGUUCGAGGUACGUGUAGGAAAGGGAAAGGUAACGAUGAUACGAUGUUUUGACAUUCUAUACGGUUUAACGAUAAAUAAUCCUCCUAGACUGGAACACAUAAAUAGAUUAAAAAUAUAAUCUAACGAACUAUAUAAAUUGAUAAACGGCGUAACAGAAUACUGAACAUUUGCAGCCAUCUCCACUAAAGAUCAAAUUAAAGGUUGCAUGCAUACAAAUUUGUUGAAUUAUUGCAAUAAUACAUCAGUGAUGUUUUUUAACUUAUUUUAACGAAAUUGAACAAAACUUUCUGCUAAUAGCAAAAUUUAAUUCUAUAUUCCACUUUUAUAAAUGUUUUAAACCUCCAAAAAAUCCUAUUAUAUUUGUUUGUCUAAUGCGUAACUUUAACUCGCAAGUCGACUUUUGUAACUCGACAUUCGACACUCGACACUCAACAAUAAGAAACCCUCGACAGAAACCUUUUGAUUUGUGUUUAAAGGUAUAUGUAGGACAGUCAUUACGUGUAUUCUUUGGGACAUUAUAUUUUUUUAUAGUUACAAUUUAGUAAAAUUUCAAAAUACUCAGGUUACAAUAUUUUUGAUGGUUAUUCAAUGAAUUGUUUAUUAUAUUUUUAAUGUUUGUGAAGUCGCACAUCUUUUACUCUAUUGAUGCAACUUUUGGUAAAAUGAUUAUUCCUGUAAAUAUAAAGUUUUCUUUCUCAAUCGAUAAUUAUUACAAAUAUAGAACGGACGUUUCGAACCGAAAUUGCAAUAUUAGUCGAGCAGGAACUCCAUAUGUUUCCGGAAAAUCCCAGUUCAUCAUUGGUUUUCUUUUUUCUGGCUGUUUAAUUUUCCGUAGUACGAGCGUAUAUUCCAUUAUUUUAUUGUAUUGUUGUCUCUUUUUGCAACGGUCUUGUCUUUGGUUUUUUUCAGGAAAAUUUUAUUUUUUAUUUCAAGCUUUCUCAUUCGUUUUUGAACUAAUGUUAGAAGCUUUACAUGUACAAAUAUUUGAGGAAUUAUACACGUCUUAGCGUGGGACAAAUAUACCGACCACAUUAGAUUAAGAGAUGUGGUAUGAUUACCAAUGAGCCAACUAUCCAACAGAUUCGAAAUGAAAUUCUAAACGAACAGAUACACGUAUAUUUUAGAUUUUACAAUGAACAAUAUUUGUUAAUAUGAUAAAAUGCAAUACAAUAUUUAAAAAUCAAAGGGAGUGAAGUACGAUUUUUGUUUUAGUUUUAUCAUUGCAUUGCAACUCAUUCAACUAUUUAUGUAAAUUGUACAUCUUCAGCACUCGAAUAGAAAAAGAUGGCAAAUAAGAAAAGCGCGUAACUUUUUAGAGCAAAAUGAAUGAACUUGUAUAACAAUGAAAGUGUCACAUGUUAAUAAACAUGAAUAAAAAUAGAUGUGAGGUAUAUGUCACAAGUUCAUAUUGACAAUACAGUAAAAACUCAAUAGAUUUGAAGAUAUUUUUAGGACUUCUUGUUCUACUAAACGGAGGUGAAUUCCAACGACAGCUUAUACCUUUUAUUGUGUAUGAAUCAUAUAUUUUUUAUUGAAAAUAUGCAAAAUCACAUAAGAAAAAGAAAGAAAAGUUAUAAAAAGGAGCAAUGAAAAACCAUAAGUCUAUUAAAAACACCAAGACUGAAGAAACAAAAUGAACAGACAAACAACAGUUUACAAAACCCUACACCGAAAAACUCAAGAUUGAGCAACACGAACUUCACCAAAAACUGGGAAUUAACACAGGAAAUCUUGAAAUUUAUAUUAAAAAAAACAAAAAAUCAACAACCGGUGCGCAUACUUUGUUAUAGUAAUUAAUUUUUUCAAU